AUAACGAUAACAGCUGUUUGAUUCCACUUGCCAGCUAUGAGAUCGAAGAACUCUGGAAUCACUUGGGUACUACAGGCAUAAAUGAGGGCAAAAUUUAAACUUUUAUUUUCUGUAAUGUGAUAAUUACAUAUUGAGGGGAAAAUGGUGCAGACUUUGCAAUAAAUUAUUGCUCAACAUAAUCUCCUAUUUCUAAUGAUUUAGUUUAUAUUAUUUUCUGUAUUUGCACUUAUUCUCUAUUGGUUAUUUCCUAGGUGUAUCUCAAGAAGGACAGAAAAUUAAGCAAAAGAAUAGCGUACACUCUGGAUUUUCUUCCUCUAUACAGACUACAGUGACUGAAGUGUUGAAUCCACUCGUAGAACCAGCUUACUGUAAAUACUCAAUUUCAAUAGACUGCCAAAAAGAACUGCAAAAUACUUCAAAGGCAAUAAUUUCAAACUCUAACUUCAAGCUUUCACUGAGAACAUAGAUUCUACAGCAAGGAAAUAAUAGUAAGUAUUUAUGUACAUGUUAUAACUUUUUUUUUUUGAGAUGCUCAAUGUUUGUGACAUUUACUCU
rnacentral:lncRNA from 1 species